UUCACAUUAGGAUUGAAGUGUGAGCUUUGGUUUGCUGUUACAAAUUCCAUCACCAAAAACGGUUUGCUUGUGUCGGUUUUGCCAUCUUUUGAGACAGCUUUGUUACAAUAAAUCACAGAUCAGGUCUAGUUCCUGUCACAACAU